GUCACCAUGUCCAGGAAGGUAGUCAGGGCCAGUAAGUUCCGUCAUGUCUUCGGCCAGGGGUGAAGGCUGACCAGUGCUACGAUGACAUCCGCAUCUCCCAGAUGACCUGGGACAGCAACUUCUGCUCUGUCAACCCCAAGUUCGUGGCCAUGAUUGUGGAUGCCAGCGGAGGAGGGGCCUUCCUAGUGCUGCCUCUGAACAAGACGGGUCGUAUUGACAUGUCCCAGCCCACAGUCUGUGGACACACAGGCCCAGUGCUGGAUAUUGAGUUCUGUCCCCACAACGACAACAUCAUUGCCAGUGGUUCAGAGGACUGCAGUGUCAUGAUUUGGGAGAUCCCGGAGGGUGGCCUGGUCACGCCCUUGAACGACCCCGUGGUGAAGCUGGAGGGGCACUCCAAACGCGUGGGCAUCCUCAGUUGGCACCCCACUGCCCACAAUGUGCUCAUGAGCGCAGGUUGUGACAACGUGGUGAUCCUGUGGAACGUGGCGUGUGGAGAGGCCAUGGUGAGGAUCGACUCGGUCCACCCUGACCUCAUCUACAGUGCCUGCUGGAACAGGGACGGCUCCCAGAUCCUCACCUCCUGUAAGGACAAGACCAUACGUGUGCUGGACCCCGCAAGGGCACAGUCAUCGCCGAGAAGGAGAAGACCCACGAAGGCUCCAGGCCUGUCAAGGCUGUGUUUGUGUCCGAUGGGAAGAUCCUGAGCACCGGCUUCAGUCGCAUGAGUGAGAGGCAGGUGGCACUUUGGGACCCGAAGAGCUUUGGGGAGCCACUCACCCUGCAGGAGUUGGACACCAGCAGUGGUGUCCUAUUGCCCUUCUUUGAUCCUGACACUGGCAUCGUCUACCUCUGUGGCAAGGGUGACAGCAGUAUCCGGUACUUUGAGGUGACGGAUGAGGCUCCCUAUGUUCACUACCUGUCCAUGUACAGCAGUAAGGAGAGUCAGAAGGGCAUGGGCUACAUGCCCAAGAGGGGCCUGGAGGUCAACAAGUGUGAAAUCGCCAGGUUUUACAAGCUCCAUGAGAGGAAGUGCGAGCCCAUUGUCAUGACGGUGCCCCGCAAGUCUGACCUGUUUCAGGAGGAUUUGUACCCAGACACCAUGGGUCCAGAGCCGUCUGUGGAGGCCAAUGUGUGGUUUGAAGGCAAAGAGGGCCAACCUAUCCUGAUCUCCUUGAAGGACGGUUUUGCGACAACCACCAAAACCAAAGAGUUCAAAGUUCACAAAAGUCUUCUGAAGACCACAUCAGCAGCCAUGGGGCAUCAGCACGAUAACACUGGGGAGGUACAUGCCUUGCAGAAGGAGGUGAAGACUCUGAAGGAAACAGUAGAGGAGCUGACCAAGCGCGUGAGCGAACUGGAGAGCAAGAAUUGAAACAGAGCCAUUGGGUUCGAGAGGGAGCUGAUGGAGAGCGAGAAGGAGGUGUAAAGAGGAGAAGAGAAAGAAGGGAUGAAAGUAAAAUAGUUAUAAAUAGUUGGGGAUGUUUGAAGGAAAGAUGGUUAAAGGGAGAGUUGGAGACAUCAAUAUCAGCAGCCAAAUCAUUUCGUGUCUGGAAGCUUGAAUUCGUUUUUUGGUGUCAGUUUUCACAUUUAUAGAGACUUGUUUUUAAUAUAUGCUCUUACAUAGUUGGAAAUAAAAGUCCUUAAUAUUUUCCAAAAUA